rnacentral:antisense_RNA from 1 species
CUUCACCGAGCCCAGCAGCAGCGGGGUGGUCCGGUCCUGCCCGUAGGUGGCCAGCAGCGCGUCGGCCUC